AGGGUUUGAUUCUGGCUCAGGACGAACGCUGGCGGCGUGCUUCAUACAUGCAAGUCGAACGAGAAUCUGACUUCGGUCAGAGGAAAGUGGCGGACGGGUGAGUAAAAUGUAGAGAAUCUGCCUAUGAGUGGGGGACAACAUUGGGAAACCGAUGCUAAUACCGCAUAUGAGUAUAUUUGAGAUAAUAUACUUGAAAACUGGGGUGCUCAUAGAUGAGUCUGCAUCUGAUUAGCUAGUUGGGGGUGUAAUGGACCACCAAGGCGACGAUCAGUAGCUGGUUUGAGAGGAUGAUCAGCCACAAUGGGACUGAGACACGGCCCAU
rnacentral:rRNA from 1 species